rnacentral:rRNA from 1 species
UACAGAGGGGGCAAGCGUUAUUCGGAAUUAUUGGGCGUAAAGGGCGCGUAGGCGGCCUGGCAAGUGGAAGGUGAAAUCCCUCGGCUUAACCGAGGAACUGCCUCCCAAACUGCUUGGCUUGAGACCAGGAGAGGUGAGUGGAAUUCCCAGUGUAGCGGUGAAAAUGCGUAGAUAUUGGGAGGAACACCAGUGGCGAAGGCGGCUCACUGGACUGGUACUGACGCUGAGGCGCGAAAGCCAGGGGAGCAAACGGG